CCUACGGGGGGCAGCAGUGGGGAAUAUUGCACAAUGGGGGAAACCCUGAUGCAGCGACGCCGCGUGAGGGAAGAAGUAAUUCGUUAUGUAAAGCUCUAUCAGCAGGGAAGAAAAUGACGGUACCUGAGUAAGAAGCCCCGGCUAACUACGUGCCAGCAGCCGCGGGAAUACGUAGGGGGCAAGCGUUGUCCGGCUUUACUGGGUGUAAAGGGAGCGGAGACGGCAGUGCAAGACUGGAGGGAAAGGAGGGGGCUCAACCCCCGGACCGCUCUGGAAACUGUAAGGUUGGAGGGGAGGUGGGGUAAGUGGAAAUCCUAGUGGAGGGGUGAAAUGGGUAGAUAUUAGGAGGGACACCAGUGGCGAAGGGAGCCUGCCAAGCCAUGACCGACGCUGGUGCAGGAAAGCGUGGGGAUCAAACAGGAAUAGAUUCCCCAGUAGUC
rnacentral:rRNA from 1 species